UACGAAGGGGGCUAGCGUUGCUCGGAAUCACUGGGCGUAAAGGGUGCGUAGGCGGGUCUUAAGUCAGGGGUGAAAUCCUGGAGCUCAACUCCAGAACUGCCUUUGAUACUGAAGAUCUUGAGUUCGGGAGAGGUGAGUGGAACUGCGAGUGUAGAGGUGAAAUUCGUAGAUAUUCGCAAGAACACCCGUGGCGAAGGCGGCUCUCUGGGACGGUACUGACGCUGAGACGCGAAAGCGUGGGGAGCGAACAGG
rnacentral:rRNA from 1 species